CCUACGGGUGGCAGCAGUGGGGAAUAUUGCACAAUGGGGGAAACCCUGAUGCAGCGACGCCGCGUGAGUGAAGAAGUAUUUCGGUAUGUAAAGCUCUAUCAGUAGGGAAGAAGAAAGACGGUACCUGACUAAGAAGCCCCGGCUAACUACGUGCCAGCAGUCGCGGUAAUACGUAGGGGGCAAGCGUUAUCCGGAUGUACUGGGUGUACAGGGAGCGUAGACGGCUGUGCAAGUCUGAGGUGAAAGCCCACGGCUCAACCCUGGGAGUGCUUUUGAAACUGUUGAGCUAGAGUGCUGGAGAGGUAAGUGGAACUCCUAGUGUAGCGGUGAAAUGCGUAGAUAUUAGGAAGAACACCAGUGGCGAAGGCGGCUUACUGGACAGUAACUGACGUUGAGGCUCGAAAGCGUGGGGAGCAAACAGGAUUAGAUACCCGGGUAGUC
rnacentral:rRNA from 1 species